rnacentral:rRNA from 1 species
UACGUAGGGAGCGAGCGUUGUCCGGAAUCAUUGGGCGUAAAGCGCGCGUAGGCGGCCCGGUAAGUCCGCUGUGAAAGUCCAGGGCUCAACCCUGGAAAGCCGGUGGAUACUGCCGGGCUAGAGUCCGGAAGAGGCGAGUGGAAUUCCUGGUGUAGCGGUGAAAUGCGCAGAUAUCAGGAGGAACACCGAUGGCGAAGGCAGCUCGCUGGGACGGUACUGACGCUGAGGCGCGAAAGCGUGGGGAGCAAACAGG